AGGUUGUCAAGAAUUAUGGGGGAUCAUAUUCAUCUCAUUGGUGGAAAGACUUGUUCCAGAUUGUGUUCAGGAUAUUUGACAACAUGAAGCUUCCUGAACAGCAGACAGAGAGCGCAGUGGAGUUAAACGAGAUACAGGCUGAG
rnacentral:lncRNA from 1 species